GUUGUUGUUGAGUUUGGUAGACAUGUUAUGGUGAGAGUUGGACAAUUUGAAAAAGAUAUAGAGUGCUUUACAACACAUUUGACUGUUUGAACAAUAUUGCAGUUGAUAUUUAAGGAAAUAGGUCUUUGUUUUUAUAAAUAUAAUAAUUACUAAAAAUUCUUGCAACCCUACAAACAACCUCUAUGCCUCAAAAAGGUAGGUAAGGUCUCCGUACAUCCCUACCUUCCUAGACCCCACUUGUGGGAUUAGAUUGGGUAUGUUGUUGUUUGUAUACAAAUUACUAAAAUCUUUAGCAAGUCAAAGAAAAGGUGAUGGAAGGAGGGAGUACAAAAACAAUUGAGAGCUGCAACUAGAUAGUGUUGUUGACUUACUGAGAUAAUCUCAGUAGCUAGCUUUGACAGGAAUGCGGAACUAGCUAGUUGGUCAAACAAAAAGGCAUGGAGGAGACACAGUAGGAAGCCGUGGUCCAAAUUUAUCAAUGCAGAUAAUCAGCAUUUAGUGUCACCAGAGGCUAUAGAUUUUCUUGACAAGCUUCUUCGUUAUGAUCACCAGGAUAGACUUACAGCAAAAGAAGCAAUGGCCCAUCCCUAUUUCUUGCAAGUGAGGGCUGCAGAGAAUAGCAGGAUGAGGACGCAAUAGCCUGUUCUAUUGAUCUUACUUUUCGAAAGAAGCAGCUUGUGGUGUAAUAUAGCAUAUAUUGUUAUCUUCAUCUAUUUCGAUUAAGGUUUACAGAUAUGCUGAAUUUAAGAGUGGCAGUUCAUCAUGGAGCAUUUCACGAGCAAUUAGUUUUCAUCGAUUUACUCCUCAUAGCCUCAACUAAUGUUCACUGAUGAUUAUGAAUCGCCUUCAAUUAACUCUCAUCUUUUUAUAUCCAAAGUGGUCAACAUGUGGAGUGUAUUGUUUGAGAAUUGAAAUAUAUUGAGAAGUUUUGCCAA